UACGUAGGGUGCGAGCGUUAAUCGGAAUUACUGGCGUAAAGCGUGCGCAGGCGGUUCUCCAAGUCCGUUGUGAAAGCCCCGGGCCUCAACCUGGGAAUGGCAGUGGAAACUAGGGGACUUGAAUCUGGCAGAGGGGGGUGGAAUUCCACGGUGUAGCAGUGAAAUGCGUAGAGAUGCGGAGGAACACCGAUGGCGAAGGCAGCCCCCUGGGCCGACAUUGACGCUCGAGGCACGAAAGCGUGGGGAGCA
rnacentral:rRNA from 1 species